GCGGCGCGCAGCGCCUCCUCCUCCCUCCCUGCUCUCCCGUCCCCUCCUCCGCGGCUCGCUGCGCGCACUCACCAAUGAAGAGGAUGGGGAAGGUGAUGAAGAGUAGGAAGACGUGCGGCACCACGUUGAGCGCGUCCACAAAGCAGCCGUUGUUGAGGACCCCCUGGUCCACCCGGUGAAUUUCCAAUGGUGAGAUUCCAGGCACUGACUAGCUGAAGGCCUCAGCAGAAGUUUUUGUAGGGCACAAGAGGAAGUGACCACUACCCAACAGCAGAACAGUCACUGUUCUUCAGUGGUGGGGAGAAGUGUUCUGCCAACGGCCUGGAAUUUGAGACAUUCCGAUGGGAGCUGCCUUGCCCUCUAGAGCAUAUGGUGGAAACGGGUGUGCACAGUCUCUGGGACCAGAGUGCCUGGCUGGAGUCGCAGCUCUACUACUUCCUCACCGUGUGACCUGGGGCAAGUGACUUCACCUCUUUUUAUAUCAACUGUCUCUUAAUAAAAUGAGGUUGUUG
rnacentral:lncRNA from 10 species